CACAUCACCCAGGCUCCUGGUUCAGCUCUCCCCGGUUCUAUAACCACAGAUGCUUCGUGAGACCGCUGACCACUGCUCCCCACGAAACGUCCUCUUUCUAAACUACAGUCUUAUUUAUGAAUCAGGAAAGUUUCAAAGGAGGCCCCCAUCUGACGACUGCUCACUGAUGAACUUGCAGCAGGGAGGCUUUUAGUCUCAUUUUGCGAGCUUCUCGGAGAGAAGGUUUAGCAUUUCAGAGUCUGGAUUUGGCCACUGGCUAAUACGCCUACUACUUAACACCAUGUACUCACAAGACCUUGUCAUCAGGCUGCAGUGAAUAUUCUCAAGAAACAGAAAAUGAAGAGUGAACCGAGUCUAUAUUUGUUUGGAAGAUCAUCUGACUACUGCUAAAUGGAGUAUCUCAAGCUGAAAGUGAAAUCUGUUUCACUGCUAAAAAUUGCCAAGAGUUUUUUGACUAAGAUUUGGGAAUCUGCAGAAAAUGUAAAAGUUUUUUUUUUCUACAAUAAUCUGUUCAGUGAACAAGCUGUGAAAAAUAGUUCUGUAUUUUGUCCUUGUGAUGCAGCAGACGGUGAAUUUCCAUUUUAAAGAGCGACGGCAACGUAGCCAUAAUUGCUGCAUUAAAGCUUUAAUGAAAGAAAAAAGCCGCAGAUCAAGAUGACAUGCCACGUCUACAUUUGCACCGUGGCGCUCUGCUUGUUUAGUAAUGGGAAGCUACUGAGGAGAUUAAAAUUGCAGAAUUCUUCAUAGUUUGUUCUGAAAUUGCUAUAGGAAGAUCAUUCGGGGUCUAAAAUACACACAAUUUAUUUUUCCACCUUCAAUUUGCAAGAAUUUAAUGGCUUGCCUAACUAGUAGGUGGUUGGAGAUAUGCUUUAUGUUGAAGAGAAAACUACUUCGGAUCAUAAAAAUGAUCAGAAGUGAGUGGAUCAGAAUUUUAAACCUCAGGCGAUUUCCUUAGCGUGUUAGAAGAUUGCCCCAAGUAUUAUACUAUAGUUUCUGUUUACUUGCUGUGCUGUAAGAAGCCUCUGGCUUCAAAAUAUCAACAGGUUGGUUUGUAAUAUUGUAUUUCUAUAUUUUUCAGGAUUUUAAAAAUCACCCCCAACCACAUCUGGAACUAGUAUAAAGGACAGCGAGCUCCUGUACAGAGGUGACGCUCUGGAGAGUUGCUAACUGGUUUGUAGGAUAAUUUAAGCUGCUUGUAUGUUUGUUUUUUAAAAUAGCUUCCAAUGAGCUCCUUUCUUCCAAGUUUGGAAUUUUCUUCGUAUCUCAACUCCACAUAGGUUGGCUAUGUUUUCUGCAAACCAUCGCUGGCAAAUAACGUCAGCGGAGACCAGAACCCUUCAGUACGUGUCACAGCCCGGAACAGUGGGAAUACGCUGACACAUCAGCAAGAAAGUAGCAAGGUCCUUAGUGCCAGGGGCUAAGGGGGGAAGUAGCCAUAUAGUUAACGCAUGCUAUUUGUGUAAACUUUUCUUCAUUUUGCAAAAAGGACAAUGCAACAGCAACUCUUAAGAGAGAAACCCGAGGAAGGGACCCGGCAAAGGCCUGGGUUCUUGGCUUUUGGAGUUCUCACUUUAGGAAAGCGACUAAGUCGCUCCACAGUUUUGUUUUGGUGUUUGUUUCUCACGGGCUUGAUAAAAUGCAUCUUUCCUAUGAGCGGUUCUCCUGGAAUGAAAAAACUUCAAGUACACAGCCUUCUGGCAUGGCUGGCUUUCUCACAAAAGUAAGAAUGUGCUGUUGGCAUGAGGGCUGGAGCCGUGGGUAAGCAGAGCCCGCAGCAAUCAGAGCAAGUGCCGGGCGGAGCAGCCUGGCCGCUCAGAGCCUCGGAGCUACUUCUGUGAGAGUGUUACCAAGGAAGAAAGCUGAGGGAAGGGGUUAGGACAGGCUUCAGAGGACACAGAGACUAGAAACACCAUCUUCCACCCCCAAGAUUUUGUGUAACAAAUAAAAAUGGAUGUUAUAGGUGCCUAACCACUUGCCUUCCUGGCCAAACAGCAAAGACAGUCUUUCUAGUCUGCACCUCUGAGGCUGCCUCUUUGAGGCUGGCAGCUGAUGCAGGACUUAAAAUGGGGGCACCCCGGGCGCUGUGUUUUAAUAGAUAAACCAUUUAAAGAUAUUUUCUUUUUGCUACAUCUUUAUAUGUGGUGGCACUGAACAGAGAAAAUGGUAGAAGGAAGCCUUCAGCAAGCUUGGUCGCUGGUCACUGUGGAGAGUGUGGUGCUUGGUGAGCAGAAGAUAAAAGGCCG